UUGUCCCAGAUGAGAUUUGGAAGACUGAGAAACACAGCUUCAGGAAAAAGUUCUGUCUUGUUCAUUACCAUGUCUCAACAGCCUAAACCUUGGUAUUUAGAUUUAAAAUUAUACUGAAUUAUUUGUAUUCUGCCUUCUGAAAAUUCUGCAUAUACUUCUAAGUGGCUGAAAGAUUAAACCAUUGCUUGCUCGUGCCAAGUUACAGAGAGACAGAAGAGAUGAAGAUUUUCCAUUCCUGGGUCACUCCUCAGUGGCCACAACAGCUGGAGCUACGCCAAGCCAAAGAGCCCAUAUGUGAGUGAGAAGAGAGAACAAAUAAUCUCAGAUGGUGUUAAUGCAAUGAAGGAAAAUUUACAAAUGGGGACAAGAAGAGAUGAGACUACAGGUACAUCAGAGACAAUAUCAUUAUCUUAGUAUCUUACCUAUGACACGACUUGUAAGAAUUUCUUUGUCAGAAGAACCAAUUUCUCUUCUAAGAUAGUUUGUGGGAAUUCUACCUGCUGCAGCAGCCUUCUGUCUGUAAUCAACCUAAAAGAGCAAUGAAAAAAUGAAUUUCAUAUGAUUCUUUCUAUCACAAACUAGAAUUGAAGAACUGCUAUA